AAAAAGCCUGGAAGGGGAUGGUUUGGUUGUGGUUUAGUGCAGCGGCUUCCGGACAGUUUGCAGGGGUGGGGUCCACAUUCUGCUGUUGUAGGAUUUCUCACUCGGUGUGUUCUCCUGAAGCAGGCCCCAGCAGUAGCUACGUGACAUUUAUCUCGUCUCCAUAACCUGUUUGUAGGUGCUGUCAUCAUCGUCAUCAUCAUCAUCAUCGUCAUCAUUCUCAUUUACAGUUUUAUGCUAAUUAAGUAGAGUCAUCCAGAGACUUGAAAUACCAGCUAAGGCCCCACCAAGACAAAGGAGGUGAGCCACUUCCAGUGCACAAGAAGAGGCUUCUGGGCCACCGUACCACCCCUACCAGCACACAGGAGGUGAGCCAUACAGGCACCAGCACCACCACCACCCCCCCAUCCCAUCGAAAUGAGAAGACACGUAAACAAGUCUCAAAACCAGACUUCCAGAUCACCUACAGCUACACCAAAGGGAAACGACAUGGAACACUCUGACAUGCAACCAUCUGGACUCCCUGAACUGGCAACAAAAGAGGAUCUGGAAAAAAAUGAAAUCAGAAAUAAUUUCUCAGAUAACAGCAGAGAUUGUGCUCAUAGUGCAAGACGUGAUUAAUAAAUCUAGAGAGGUGCUCAGGAACACGAUGGAAUCCCAACACAGGAGACAAAUGGAAUCCAUAAAACAGAUGCAAACAGAUUUCCAAGAGAUUAAAAACUCCAUUUAAAGUCUACACAGCAGAAUGAGCCAAUGUGAGGACAGAAUUUCAGAUAUAGAAGAUAAGACUGCAGUUAGUGACCCAGAAAAGAAAAAUUGCUUUAAAAUUGUAAGGGACCAUGAGAAAUCAAUCCAUCAGCUGCUAGACGAUGCAAAGAAGAAUAACAUAAGACUGACUGAAGUCAAUGAAGAAACAGGAGAGAGUGCAGAUGACAUAAAAAAAAACUAUUCACAGAAGUGAUGGCAGAAAACUUCCCAAGCAGGGGAAAAGAACUUGACAGACAGAUAAGUAAGGUAUAUAGGACUCCAACUAGGCUUGAUAAAAAAAACCACACAAAGGCAUAUAAUUAUUAAGAUUCCAGAAACCCAACAGAAGAACAAAGUUCUACAAGCAGUUAGAGAAAAGAAACAAAUCACGUACAAAGGAAAGCCCAUCAGAAUCACAGGAGACUUCUCAAUGAAAACCCUCAAGGCAAGAAGGGCUUGGAGUGAUUCAUUUCAAGCUCUAAAGGAAAACAGCCUCCAACCGAGAUUGAUGUACCCUGGAAAAUUAUCUUUCAAAAUUGAUGGAGAAAAAAAUUGAUGGAGAAAUAAGAUAUUUUCAUGAUAAAGAGCAACUUCAUGAAUACCAAACCAGCACUCCAAAAAAUUUUAGACAGUAUCUUAGGAAACAACAAUGAGGAUCACAACCCCAGGAAGCCCAGCAGAAUGAAUCCAUCAG
rnacentral:lncRNA from 1 species